rfam:Salmo salar isolate Sally breed double haploid chromosome ssa27, whole genome shotgun sequence.
GGCCGGUUAGCUCAGUUGGUUAGAGCGUGAUGCUAAUAACGCCAAGGUCGUGGGUUCGAUCCCCAUACUGGCCA